AAGUUAGAAUUUUUUUGCUUGAUUAGGUAAACAAUUCUUAUUGAAGACAUCAACAUCGAAUACGUAUUUAGGACAAGUUAGGCAUAUUGGUAUCAGCCAUCCAUUGUAUUAGUGUUUGAUUUGCAGCUUCCAUGCUUUCUUAAAUGUUUAUUUUGCCUCUCGGCAUGUGUUUUUCACAAUUCGUGGAAUGCGGGUAUGUUUCUUUUGAUCACCGGACAUGUUUUUCUUUUAAAUAAGAAUCUCCUUAGUAUAUUCAAACUCAAAUAGACAGUUACAAGUUUGAAGAUUAAUUAACAAAUAAAAAACAACUCAAACUGCUAUUGUGCUGUAUAUGAGAAGGAAGUAAAGACCUGAAAAACAACUGCGGAGAAGUUGGUGUGAGAGAGAAGAUUGAAUGCCCCCUGGAGGAGUCGCUGGCGGCAGCUGAACAUGCUUCCUCUGAAGCACACAUUACUGUAAAACCCAGAGCUGUUUUAGUAAUUAACGCAUGCAGAAUUGAGGAUACCUCCAUGAAAAGAAAAGUUUAACAAGACAAUAGACAGAUGCUCCUUCCCAAGUAGAAGGUCGUCUAGAUAGACAGAGGUCGAGGAGCAGAGCCUGAUCAAGAAGCCCGAGCUCUCAAACUCAUAAUUCAGCUCAAUCAACAAGAGAGUAUUAGAAGCUCUAAGAAAUUACUUGGGAAAGGAAAUUCUCUACGCUCCAGUAUGCUGGCUAAGCACUUUCUGGAAAACUUUAGAUUAUUUUCUUUAGAUUCACAUAAUGGGUUAGGUGACCCUCAACUUUGCAAUAAGGACGGACCGAUCUACAAUUUUAGACACUUGCCUGACUUUUCAGAGCUUGAUUUAUUACUAGCAUCCCUCCUAAGCAAAGAUCAAGCAACUUAAAGAAGUACAUCCAGAGAAUAAAAGAAAACUUGAAGGUUUUGUGAAAAGAUUUAAUAAAAUUGUUCAAAUAUAAAAAUUGAAUCUUGAUA